CGGGUGAAGUGAUCUUCUAAUACCCCAUUCUUUCAAAUCAAAUCAAAAAUUCAAAUCAUCCUUGGUCUUAUCUUUGAUGUUCCAGAUCAUUGCCACUAGAAGCUUACAUAUGUUCUUUUCAAUGUGCAUGACAUCUAAGUAGUGACGCAAUAAGUUUGUCUCUCAAUAUAGCAAGUCAAAGAAUAUAUAUUUUUUUCUCCAAUUAAAGUGUGCAUCAUCUGCCUUUGAUCGACGCUUCCUCUUCUUACCACC
rnacentral:lncRNA from 1 species